UACACUAAAACAAUGGUUUUCCUAUUCAAUCCUGACGGCCUGACCGUAACUGCAGCUUCUCAUCCCAACCAAUUUCUUCUUUUACUUGGACUCUCCUAUAUUAAACAAAAUAAGAGAAGAAAUAAAAAGGGCAGUUCAUUAAACAAGAGAUCAAUUCAAGGGAAAUAAUGAUCCACUGAUUAUGAAAAUGUUUGGAACAAAAACCUGCACCCACAGGAGGCUCCCAGGACUGAACUUGACCAGAGUGCUAAAGCAUUUCACAGAGUGCCUUAUGACUAAGUUGCUUCCAGCCAAGUCCACUGAAUGCACAAGAACCAUACAGAACUGAAGACCACUGCCCACAGGACAAGUGAUACAAUUCCCUCCGCAGUUCCAAAAGCUCCGCACCAAGGCAGAAGUUGCCAUUCAUUCAUGAACCUGCAGCUGAGAGUGAUGGAGCUUCUCUGCAGAAGCAUUGAAAACCUGUGUUAUACAGCCUUCAGCUUUCUGUUAAUGGCAUUGACCGUUCUUUCCAUUUUUCCCUGAUUUGACACCCUGAAUAAAUGGGUUU